rnacentral:sRNA from 1 species
UUUGAUCAGUGGACCUUAAUCAUCUUGGUGCAUUAUAGCUUUAUUUGCAAGGAAACAGGUUUUAA